UCGAGUUACAGACCACCUCUUUAUGUGAUUCUUGGCUUAGUGAGUUCUUCUUGAAGUUCUGAACAACUCUCCAGAAGGAAUCGAAGCGUUUCGUUGAAGUUUUUACGUCGAAACUCAAGCUCGCCGGAUUCUGGAAUUUUUCCGACCACCGAAGCUUUCGAUCGGUAUAUCUCGAGCUACAGACCAUAUUUUUCUGUGAUUCUUGAACCAAUGAGUUCACCUUGAGUUUCUUAACAACUCUCUAGAAGGGAUCGAAGCCUGAAAUUGAAGUUUUGACGUCGAAAUCAAGCCUUGCCGGAUUCUGCAAAUUUCGCCGGAUUCUGGAAAUUUUCCGGCCACCUCGACUGUUUUAGGUGAUUGACGGUCUCCCUUGGGUGAGCGAUUUCGGUGUGUAUUGUGUUAAACUGAAGACGCAGCGGGAAUAUCGAGCGGGUAAUCCUGCAGGUCAGGAGAAUCAGGGCGGUGAUCGAGCCGGUUAGAGUAUUUGUUAUAGUUAUACAGCAUUUGUAAUAGUGAGGUGAGUUAAGCUCAUUGAGCCUUAGAAUUUGAUUUGGUGAGAGUGUGUUGUAAUAAUUAACUUGAGGAUUUGAUUUAUUGUAAUAUUGAGAGGUGUGAAGUGUGGUUGUUUUGAGAAAAAAAUUCAGGUUGUAUUUAUGUGAGUUGUAUUAAUUCAUGUUUCGGAUUUGGAUUUGUUAUUCAAAAUCCGGGGCGUGACAGUUUGGUAUCAGAGCGUAAGGUACAUAUUUGGUGAUAAUCAGUACUCCCCGAGUGAUGGCCCGUCUGCAGCGGAUCCCCAUCGUAUACUCUUCGGUACUGGUAUAAUCAUUGGGUAUGUCUUAGUAUGGGGUCUAGACAGCGUGUAUGUCAGUAGGACGGUAGAGUUGUCUUCUAAGUUCGUAUUAGAAUAAGUUUAGUUUCCGCAGGUUGUAAUCUUUGAGGAAUGGAAACCUCCGGAUUUAACUCUGAUGAGUCAGUGAGGAUUGUUUAUGGAAAUGAGUUUCCUUUUGUAUGUAGAAGUGUUUGGUUGAAGGC